UACGUAGGGUGCGAGCGUUAAUCGGAAUUACUGGGCGUAAAGCGUGCGCAGGCGGUCUGUUAAGACCGAUGUGAAAUCCCCGGGCUUAACCUGGGAACUGCAUUGGUGACUGGCAGGCUUUGAGUGUGGCAGAGGGAGGUAGAAUUCACGUGUAGCAGUGAAAUGCGUAGAGAUGUGGAGGAAUACCGAUGGCGAAGGCAGCCUCCUGGGCCAACACUGACGCUCAUGCACGAAAGCGUGGGGAGCAAACAGG
rnacentral:rRNA from 1 species